UACGUAGGGUGCGAGCGUUGUCCGGAAUUAUUGGGCGUAAAGAGCUUGUAGGUGGUUUGUCGCGUCUGCUGUGAAAAUCCGAGGCUCAACCUCGGACUUGCAGUGGGUACGGGCAGACUAGAGUGUGGUAGGGGAGACUGGAAUUCCUGGUGUAGCGGUGAAAUGCGCAGAUAUCAGGAGGAACACCGAUGGCGAAGGCAGGUCUCUGGGCCACUA
rnacentral:rRNA from 1 species